rnacentral:snoRNA from 1 species
UGGUCAUUUACCAAGGCUUUUAAAAUGCAGUUUUGGAAUUGCUGUGGAAAUUGACCCAUCAAAAAGAACUUCCCAUUUAGGUUUUUCUAUUUGGUACUUUGUUAGCAUUCAGCCUUAUUGGGAAACAGU